rnacentral:tRNA from 1 species
GUUCCGUGGUGAAGAACACACUGGAUUGCAAAUCCGGAGAUGCAGAUUAAUAAUCUGCCGGGGCUU